AUUGAACGCUGGCGGAAUGCUUUACACAUGCAAGUCGAACGGCAGCACGGACUUCGGUCUGGUGGCGAGUGGCGAACGGGUGAGUAAUGUAUCGGAACGUGCCCAGUCGUGGGGGAUAACGUAGUGAAAAUUACGCUAAUACCGCAUACGAUCUAUGGAUGAAAGCGGGGGAUCGCAAGACCUCGCGCGAUUGGAGCGGCCGAUAUCAGAUUAGGUAGUUGGUGGGGUAAAGGCCCACCAAGCCAACGAUCUGUAGCUGGUCUGAGAGGACGACCAGCCACACUGGAACUGAGACACGGUCCAGACUCCUACGGGAGGCAGCAGUGGGGAAUUUUGGACAAUGGGCGAAAGCCUGAUCCAGCCAUUCCGCGUGCAGGAGGAAGGCCCUCGGGUUGUAAACUGCUUUUGUACAGAACGAAAGGGUUUCUACUAAUACUAGGAGCUCAUGACGGUACUGUAAGAAUAAGCACCGGCUAACUACGUGCCAGCAGCCGCUGUAA
rnacentral:rRNA from 1 species